AUUUUACUUUUAUUUAUUUAUUUAUUUAUUAUAGCUCCAGCGUCAUGCAAUACGAUCAAGGGGAAUUACCCACAGGGGAUCAGUCUAAUAUGUAGGACAUGAAACUGAGUUAAAUGAGAUGGGGUGUGUCCAACAUCAUUCCUGGCAUUUAGCCAGGUUUGGUUUCCCUAAAUAGUAACCAGAGAGACAGUGAAAAGCAUUAUGGGUAAUAUUAAUCAAUUAGGUAUUUCCUCCUAAGGAGUUAUUCUCAUAAUAAUACCGUUAAUACACUUAGUUUGAUUAUUUGAAAAUUAUAAAUCUAUGCACUUUUGGUUAAGUUAUCUCAAUUCUGAUAUAGUAAAUGGAGCACAUAUAUAUAGAGCACCAAUCACAUUGCAAGGGAAGUGAUGUAAUCACUUUUCCCUUUAUAAAGGGUGGUUAUCAGGUCCAAUGCCUCAUUAUACAGAGACUUGGCUGUCAGCACUGCACCACUGGAGGGUAAGGUUUUGUUUUUGAUUUUACAAUAGUAUAUUAUCAACUUUGAAAGUGGUCCCAUUUAUUAGUAUACACUUUGUACCAACUAUAUGUAUUUUAUUGACUGGUUAACCACUAAUCAUUUAUAAAUGUAAUUUUUUUAAAGAGUAUAUGAUAUGCACUAAUUAUAUAUAUUCACUAUAUAAAUAUGACAGAUUUAUUCAUGAAUAUGAAACUAAGUUGUAUGAGUUAUACACUCACUUAUAUAAUUUUUAUAGUUAAUAGAUCUUCCCCUUACUAAGUGAAAGGAGUAUUUGUUUCUCCAUGGGGUGGGAACUCUUUGUACCAUACUGGUACUUUAAUAGAUGGUCUAAUUGAUAUCAACCCAAUUAAUUUACCAGGUCUACCACGUGUUCUAAAUUGGUUAGACAUUAUACCCAUUUGAAUUGCCUUCACUCCUGAGUCUCUGAGUGUCAGGUUCAAGCUGCUGACCGACGAGGUUCCUUAUGCUUGCGAACCAGUUAGAUUCUAUACACAUAUGAAUCUUCCCCAUAUUCGAAUAUCUGAAUGUCAGACUCAAGCUGAUGAUAUAUGAGGUAUGUGCCGUUCCCUUGGAUUAAUCCCAAUCUCUGCCUAAUUGAACAAAAAGUGUCCUUUAAUUAAUAAAGGUUAUUAAACGUUUUUUUAAUUAGGUAUGGUCCUCGCUGUAUCAAUCAAGUCCCAUUGAAAUAUUGAAACGUUGUUCAUACAUCUUUGAAUGACCUUUUAUGUGCUGACAAUAUGUUCUGAAAUGAAGAGAUUUUACCCCUGAUGAAGUCUUGGAACAAGACGAAACGCGUUGGGUUAUUUAUCUAUCUAUUAUCUGAUGUUACCUCCGAAUCUACAAUAAGGAGAAGGAGGAAAUCGUAGUGAUAUAUCUACGCUUUUUCCUCAUCACUACAAACUGAUUGUUCAAAUUGUGCGAGAAAUGUAAAUGUAUCAACUCUGUAUACUUAUGAACAUUUGUGUCGGGUUUAUAUGUUGUUUUAAUAAAUUUUUAUGUUAGUA